rnacentral:piRNA from 1 species
UGGCUCAGCCCUGUAUUCCUAUAUUGUUA